UCACGUGUAUUGCUCUCAGACUUUAUUGGACAGAAACCAAACCUCAUAUGACUGAUUCUGUUUAAUUAAGAUGAAAAGGUAAACAAAAACAAAAACCCCCACGGCCCACUACCCUCAAAUAAUGUUAGCCUCAUUGUACAAGCUCCAGUCACAAUAUAUCUCGUUUUCUUUCUCCUCUGAAUAACCCCGAAGUGUAAAAAUCUGGAGGAUAUUCAAGGAAAGUACAGAACAGAAUGUACUUUUGUAGAAUAAUAACUCAAGAACAUAAAGGAAGAAUAAUCAGAAUUGCCUUCAAGGCAGCAGCAGAAUAAAUGGGCCACUGGCACAUAAAGUGUCAGCGGUGCAUACAGUAUAAAAAUACAUGCAGGGAUCUUGAGCCACCGAGAAAACCUGCCACUGUGGGUUGCGUUCUCGUAGGCUGAUUCAAGCCAGAAAUAUGGGAAGGUCUCCAAGUGAGAUGUCCCACACGCUGUCCCACUUAGCAGCCAAAAAGCAAGGAAGCAUCUAUUUAGCACAUUGCACUGCUCCCUCCAUUCGUAUGUCUCGGAUCUAAUCCAAAAUAUGAAGAAGGGACACAUUGUAGUAGUUUCCUUUUGGUUUUACGAGUGCCCACGACAACAUGAGACUAAAUCCACAUCCACACACACAGAGCACAUCUGCGCUGUGAGACUUACAGAAAGGGACACUGCCAGCUGGCUUUGUUUCAACAUUUCACCUCUAGGGAUUGGCUUUAGCACAGGCCAAAAAAGGAAGCGACGUGACUACACAACUGCGCUAUGGCGUACACACGCACUAAAGUGUGCAAUCACAGCAAACACACUAGCCUUAUGUGGUCACAAGAUAUCCAGUGCUGUAUCAGCUAACACAUCUACGCUUGCAGCCAAAUACGUUCUAGAGUAGUCCAGAUGUACGUGGGCCCUUGGCGAUGCAUGGAGCUUAUAUCUGACACUUCGGAGAGCGCCGCUUCAAGACGAGACGCAGCAACUGACGAUGGACUCGUUGAACCUACAUGAAUAAAACACAAUCAUUACCGUUUCAUA